rfam:Myotis brandtii contig229544, whole genome shotgun sequence.
GCCCUAGUGGCUCAGUGGAUGAGUGCUGACCUAUGAAUCAGGAGGUCAAGGUUCAAUUCCUGGUCAGGGCA